GAUGAACGCUGGCGGCGUGCCUAAUACAUGCAAGUCGAGCGAACAGAUGAGGAGCUUGCUCCUCUGACGUUAGCGGCGGACGGGUGAGUAACACGUGGUUAACCUACCUAUAAGACUGGGAUAACUUCGGGAAACCGGAGCUAAUACCGGAUAAUAUAUUGAACCGCAUGGUUCAAUAGUGAAAGACGGUUUUGCUGUCACUUAUAGAUGGAUCCGCGCCGCAUUAGCUAGUUGGUAAGGUAACGGCUUACCAAGGCAACGAUGCGUAGCCGACCUGAGAGGGUGAUCGGCCACACUGGAACUGAGACACGGUCCAGACUCCUACGGGAGGCAGCAGUAGGGAAUCUUCCGCAAUGGGCGAAAGCCUGACGGAGCAACGCCGCGUGAGUGAUGAAGGUCUUCGGAUCGUAAAACUCUGUUAUUAGGGAAGAACAAAUGUGUAAGUAACUAUGCACGUCUUGGCGGUACCUAAUCAGAAAGCCACGGCUAACUACGUG
rnacentral:rRNA from 1 species